rnacentral:tRNA from 1 species
GGGGUAUAGCUCAGAUGGUAGAGCGUAUGGUUCGCAUUCAUAAGGUCAGGGGUUCGAUUCCCCUUAUCUCC